ACAAAAGGGCUUCCUCUGUAUUUAGUAGGGAUGCUGUGCAACACUGAAGAACAACAUCCUGAGAUGCGCGUGACCUGGGCAGGGUAGGCUGAAGGGACCUGCUGUCUCCUCCUGGGGCACCUUGGGGCCCUGCUGGCAUGCCCUCCCUUUGCAGGAGGCUCCUUUCCUUGCCCAUGCAGAAGGCACCAGGCCUCUCUGUGGCAUGACAUUGAUCUGUGUGCAUCAGAAAACAUAAUGGCUCUGGAGAAGAGAUUGCUUUGGACCAGCUGAGAAGCUUGACAUCUCUCAAAAGGCUUUAAAGCUCCUGUCAUUGGGUCUACAAGGACUUUGGACUGCAUUUGCAUCUUCUAGAUUGCCAGAGAAAAAAACCCUUCCCCUGUCCUUUUUGCCUUUUCUGCUGUCAGAAGAUGCCUGGGGAGGGAGAAGCUAUGCUACCAGCCAUCUGACUGCCCCUCUCUGUGCUGCUCCUGUGGCAGGAGGUGGGAAAUCGCCGAUGUCACCGUGCCUUUUGCUUUGCCUCCCUGCAAAGUGCCACUGCUGGCAGGGAGCCGUGGCUGGGGCAGCCUGCUGGGAUGCUUUGCUCUGUCUUCCUUUCUCCCAGCAGCCUCCUGACUGCAUGGGAACAAUGGGAUGACGUGACCGGAGCCCUGUAAAUACUAAUUCCCCUUUGAAGCUGUCGCACCAAACAGGAAGCGCAAACAGCCCCAGAAUAGAAAUUCAGUCCUUGCUCAUUCCUCAGCAGAGGCUGCUCCCAAAUAAUGCCACCUGCCAGACCCCUCCUCACGUGUCCGAGCCACUCUGCCCCUCGUUGUGUUCCCCAGGCCCGGUGCUUUGAUUGGACCAUGCCCAUGAGGAGGUCAUCUCCUACCUGGGACUGGCAGUUCCUGUGAGUGGGCACGCUGCAUUUAAAUGAGGCUUCAGUCAUCAUGACCUGCUGCUCCUUAUCCUGCAGUCCAGCAGUGAUGUGACAGUGCUGGAUUUUGGAUGUCAGAAGAUUAGUUGGUGCUGAGU